rnacentral:rRNA from 1 species
AGACCCGAAACCCGGUGAUCUAGCCAUGGGCAGGUUGAAGGUUGGGUAACACUAACUGGAGGACCGAACCGACUAAUGUUGAAAAAUUAGCGGAUGACCUGUGGCUGGGGGUGAAAGGCCAAUCAAACCGGGAGAUAGCUGGUUCUCCCCGAAAGCUAUUUAGGUAGCGCCUCGUGAAUUCAUCUCCGGGGGUAGAGCACUGUUUCGGCUAGGGGGCCAUCCCGGCUUACCAACCCGAUGCAAACUGCGAAUACCGGAGAAUGUUAUCACGGGAGACACACGGCGGGUGCUAACGUCCGUCGUGAAGAGGGAAACAACCCAGACCGCCAGCUAAGGUCCCAAAGUCAUGGUUAAGUGGGAAACGAUGUGGGAAGGCCCAGACAGCCAGGAUGUUGGCUUAGAAGCAGCCAUCAUUUAAAGAAAGCGUAAUAGCUCACUGGUCGAGUCGGCCUGCGCGGAAGAUGUAACGGGGCUAAACCAUGCACCGAAGCUGCGGCAGCGACGCUGAUGCGUUGUUGGGUAGGGGAGCGUUCUGUAAGCCUGCGAAGGUGGCCUGUGAGGGUUGCUGGAGGUAUCAGAAGUGCGAAUGCUGACAUAAGUAACGAUAAAGCGGGUGAAAAGCCCGCUCGCCGGAAGACCAAGGGUUCCUGUCCAACGUUAAUCGGGGCAGGGUGAGUCGACCCCUAAGGCGAGGCCGAAAGGCGUAGUCGAUGGGAAACGGGUUAAUAUUCCCGUACUUGGUGUUACUGCGAAGGGGGGACGGAGAAGGCUAUGUUGGCCGGGCGACGGUUGUCCCGGUUUAAGCGUGUAGGUGUGUGUUCCAGGUAAAUCCGGUUCACUUUAACACUGAGGCGUGAUGACGAGGCACUACGGUGCUGAAGCAACAAAUGCCCUGCUUCCAGGAAAAGCCUCUAAGCAUCAGGUAACAUCAAAUCGUACCCCAAACCGACACAGGUGGUCAGGUAGAGAAUACCAAGGCGCUUGAGAGAACUCGGGUGAAGGAACUAGGCAAAAUGGUGCCGUAACUUCGGGAGAAGGCACGCUGACACG